UGCCCAGCAACUCCUAUCCCUACCUCCACGCGGUACCGGCCGGAAACUAUGAGCAACCUUAGGGAAGAUCGGAUAACCAACCCCGGUGGGAACUUUGGUCGUAGGCUGACAGGGAAGG
rnacentral:ribozyme from 1 species